ensembl:snRNA U4 U4 spliceosomal RNA
AGCUUUGCACAAGUGGCAGUAUCGAAGCCAAUGAGGUUUAUCUGAGGCACGAUUAUUGCUAAUUGAAAACUGAACUAGUGUCUUUGAUUAGAUACUAAAUGUGUAGAUAGAUCACAUACUUUCUGGGCUUUCUUGAUAUUCUUAGAAGAA